rnacentral:rRNA from 1 species
GUGGGGAAUCUUCCGCAAUGGGCGAAAGCCUGACGGAGCAACGCCGCGUGAACGAUGAAGGUCUUAGGAUCGUAAAGUUCUGUUGUUAGGGACGAAGGGUAAGAAUCAUAAUAAGGUUUUUAUUUGACGGUACCUAACGAGGAAGCCACGGCUAACUACGUGCCAGCAGCCGCGGUAAUACGUAGGCGGCAAGCGUUGUCCGGAAUUAUUGGGCGUAAAGGGAGCGCAGGCGGGAAACUAAGCGGAUCUUAAAAGUGCGGGGCUCAACCCCGUGAGGGGGUCCGAACUGGUUUUCUUGAGUGCAGGAGAGGAAAGCGGAAUUCCCAGUGUAGCGGUGAAAUGCGUAGAUAUUGGGAAGAACACCAGUGGCGAAGGCGGCUUUCUGGACUGUAACUGACGCUGAGGCUCGAAAGCUAGGGUAGCGAACGGGA